GGCCCCUCCAUGCCCGGAUUGCGGCCCCGGCCCUGGCGAGAUGGCAGCUGGGCGCUGCCGGCGCUCGGUAGCCCCGAAGCCUCAGCGCAUCCAUCAGGGGGCUGCAAAAGGCACCGAAAUGCGCCAGCCCGGCCCUGGGAAACUUAGAGAUGGCAGAGAAUUUCCCCGGACAGCUUAGUCACUGAGGCCAGCCUAAAGAUCUCAGUGCUGCCAGAGGAUAAAUCCCUGGGGCCAGCAGCCCGAUCCCAGCACCUCGCUGCCUUCGGGGCUUCGGGCAGUCCCACUGGCAGCCCAGUCGCUUCUGCAUGUUGGGGAAAAGCUCACUUCUCAGCGGACACAGGGAUGGGACCCAGCGAAACCCUCCAGAGAUGUUCUCCGUGAGGAGUAGAACGAGCUGGGAACGUUUUUUAUAAAAGGGCUCUUCUCCGUCUUUAGGGCGUGGGAGGUUUUUUGCAGCUCCGUUUUAUUUCAGUUCAGAAUUUUGAACAAACUUUGGAUUGAUUUCCGGAAGGCGCAAAUGCUCACACAUGGGAAAAGUGAAUAAACCGGUCCUUCGAGGUCACCCGGGAGGGGGAGACGAGAUCUGUACCCCCUUCCAAAAUAAAAUAAAAUAAAAGUAACAGGAGGGGAAAGAUCUCAUGCUUUUGUAGUUUAAAACUACUUGGAAUGAUU